rnacentral:rRNA from 1 species
UACGUAGGGGGCGAGCGUUGUCCGGAUUUAUUGGGCGUAAAGAGCUCGUAGGCGGCUUGGCAAGUCGGGUGUGAAACCUCCAGGCUCAACCUGGAGACGCCACUCGAUACUGCUAUGGCUAGAGUCCGGUAGGGGACCACGGAAUUCCUGGUGUAGCGGUGAAAUGCGCAGAUAUCAGGAGGAACACCGGUGGCGAAAGCGACUCUCUGGACGGUUACUGACGCUGAGGCACGAAAGCGUGGGGAGCAAACAGG